rnacentral:lncRNA from 1 species
AGAAUGUCCUUUUGGAGAAGUUGGAAGUGACUGCAAACUUAACUCCAGCUUCAUGGAACUUCUUUAUUGUCUGAGAUUUUCCUACAGGCCUUGUCUACGAGCCUUUCUUCUGCAGCAGGGAUGUAAUUUGGCGUAGAGAUGGGGAAUGGAGUCGCUCUGUACUUCAUAGUGACUCAGGUUGAUAUAGUGACAGGCAAUCUAGCACGUGGGGCACAUUCAGCUGCCAAUUCUACUGGUGCAACUCCUGCUACUCACACCAUCAGCAUUCAGACCUACUCUGCAGUUCAGAGAGAAGCACACCUCCAAAGCUGAUAAAACAUUGACUUUGAUUUUGAAUGCUGCUUUCACUCUAUUUGGGACAGCUAACCCUAAUGCACACGUUGUUUUCCAGUGACCACAGCAGAGUUAGCAGGCUUUAUAGGAGCUGUGAAAGCAAUUGCGCUGGAGAAGGCAGAGUCGAAAGGGAGCAGUAGCAAUCUCCUUGAUUCCCCACAUGGGGGGACAGGUGCAGCUGCUGGCUCUUCUACCUAUGAACAUUAUCAUAAAACAGCAAAGGAAAGUUCUAUAUGCGAGUGGGUUUUUUGGUCUUUUUUUCUCAUUCCCAGGAGAGCUGAGUGUCUUGUUCAUCAGUAUGCUGUCUGAGAUAAACCCUUUCUUUCAUAAAUGUACUUGUUUCACUGUUCAUUUAUUAUAAGAAAUAACAGUGCUCACAUGCCAGUUUUCUUCUAUUUGAACUUAAUUUCAUGAAUCCCUCUGGAAAGCUAAAUAUACCUAUUCAAUUUGCACUUAGGAAGUAUAUUGCUGCAUUUAUAAAUAUUCUAGUUUCCUUUCCAUGUUAGUACAGAUAUUCUACUUCUAGAAUUAAAAUUCAUCCUAAUCUUUUCCAUUCUACAAAACUUUGAGUAUUCUCCCUACCCUCAGUUCCUUUCUUUUUUCUUUUUUCCCCCUAUUUCAGUUGUAGGUCAUCACCUGGACUUACUUUCUAGGGACCCUGUACAAGGCUAUCAAGCCACAGUGCAAAUAGUUGAAUAUAUAUAUAUAUAUACUUGCUUAGGUGCCAUACAGUUCUUUAGUGCGCUUCAUAAAUCUGCCAAAUGGCUGUUUCUCUUCAAUCUGAUGGCUCAUCAGCUUGUCAUUUUAGAAGAACCAAAAGAGAAAGACUAGGUACUUAGGUAGGUUUGCAGGCAUUCAGGGUGCAGAGAGGGCAAAGCAUUAAGCGUUUCCUUGGGAGAUGUCAGGGAGAGGUAGAAUAAGGAGUAUCUAUGCCCUCAGAUGGCAGUUGUUUGUUCUGAGUCCUCAUUCCCAGUCAGCAUGGACUUUUAUCAGUGUAGGAGCAGUAAGUGCAAUUGUGAUUUUUUCAGCCUUUCGGGUUCUUCAGUAUUAUCUUCCCAUGAAAACCAGGAAACAAAUAUUUUGCUUCAUCAUGGGAGUCCAAUAUGCCUCAUUCCACAAAGAAAUUCCACUGAUGUUUGCAGUCAUUUUUUGCCAUUCUUUCUGCAUGCUAGAAUCUAUUCUUGUUCUCAUGGUAUAACAUAGUACAAUGCUACCGAGAUUGAGAGUAGAUGUGAUGGAUUAAAAUCAGUUCCUCACAAGGAACCACUGACAAUUUUUGCAUCAUCCUGUAUUAAGCAGAGGUGUGCGAUCAUUGAAGGAGUAUCACAAAACUUGUUUUAUCCUUAUUCAUGACUCCUGCUGUUGAAUUGGAUCAAUGUAACUGGAAGCCUAUUCAGAACAAAUGAACUGCUGUGCUGGAAACCAAUGUGGUUUUUAUCCUAAGUCCUGCAACAUUUGUGUUUUCCUUAUAUUCACGGCUCCCAGAGUCAGGCGACUUUAAAAUGCUUUUUUUCUGUAUUGUGUGAUACAAUGAAUGCUUGCUUUUCCAUACUGGCAGAGAAGAUUAUGGAAAUAAUUUGCUUCCUAUAGUUUCAGAAAUGAGAAGACAAAUUCAAUUGUAUUUAUCUGUUUUAAACUGAAGGAUGUAUUUUACAUAUAUAUCAUGAUAUUUUUUAGAUCAGUUGUAUGCCUUGUUAACAUUCAGGGUUGGAAAUACUUAGGCUGCAUAUUGUUUGCAAUUACAUCUGUCCUGUAUACAGCAAUCUGUUACACUGGCUUUUGAUCUAGAGCAAUAUAACUGAGAG